CGUGCCGAUUCGAUCGGGAUACUCAUCAAAUUACAUCGAAAACUGAGUUAGCUUCUCUUGCCAAUGGCGGGCCACACUCUCACACGUGAGAAGCCGAAAGGCCAGUGGAUUACAAAGACAGAGGGCGCUCGAAUCUUUUAACAAAGGAGUUUUCAUCACAUCAUCGGGCGUCCCCU
rnacentral:sRNA from 1 species